CUCUCCUACAGUAGGCUCAAUAGGAAAUUGAACUUUGAGGGGGGAAAAAAACCGUGUGGAGCCUGAUUCUUGUGUUAGCAGAAAAGGUAGUCUGGAGGGUUGGGACAUGAACACGAGGAAGACGGUGAACUUGGACUACUUGGCUAGGUGAAGAAGGAUCCCACCUGGUCCAGCGUUUAGAAGAGAGUACAGAACACUAUGUUCCCUAGUAAGAACUGCUAAACCUCAUCUCUGGGUCAACGCCAGACUAAGCACCUGUCCUUGAGGCUGAGGAGACAGACUGAUCGUCAAUAACCCUGAAGAGUGACCAUUCUCCCCUGACCGUCGCACCCAUCUUCCCAGCCUGGACACCUGCAUGCAGCCUGUCUCUGCUCUGUGGGGAAGUUACCCCAUUAUAGCAUAUCACCUCCAUUUACACCCAUUCACAGACUGUUGCAGGACAAAAUGAGAACGGGUAACAUUUCCUUUGUUAGACCACCUGAUGCUUUAUUUGGGUUAUUGGGGCCUGUUGUGUUUGAGUGAAAGUGUACUUUAGGGUGAGUGUGUUUGUGUUGUCGCCUCUCGCUGUAUCUGUUUGAGUGUGUCUGAAUGACAUUCCCCCUUCAUCCGUCAGUCUUUCAGGUGAAUGUGUCCUGGCGAGAUGAGGUAGUAGGUUGUAUAGUUUGUGGGAGGGAUUUAAUCCUAUUCAGGUGAUAACUAUACAGUCUAUUGCCUUCCUUGAGAGGCACAAUGACAGUCUGCAGCAACGAGGAAGUCCCCAGCUCUCUGAAUUCCUCAAUGCGUUGGAUGCAAUCUCACUAUGAUAAAGCAACAGCUGGAGCACAAAUGGGUUUAUAGCCUCUCCACCGCCACUUGGUGGCCAAGGAGCAGCAGGACUCCAGAGACCUUCUUGUAGGUUCAGGAUUCAGAGCUUCUCAAGAAUGAAAGGAUAUGAAAAGCACUCAACAGAGAAUGCAUCAGUGUUACAAAAUCUAAACAAUAAAGGGUUGGUUCUCCAGAACCAAAUCAAGCCCUAAAUAAAUGCGUAUAGGCUUGUGAUAUGUUUUAUGGUAACAUUAUUCAAUGUUGUAUUAAUUAAUAAAGGUUAAAUAUAGCUAUUAAACUUGCAUCUAGUCUUUUAAUCUGACUUUUUAGGGCAUUACAUACAUCUGAUUACUCCUAAUUUCAAUUCUGAAGAUAUGUUUUGUUGCUGUUGUCAGUAA
ensembl:lncRNA